GCACAUGACUUAUUGGUUAGGGUGUCUGAUUUACGAUCAUAAAGUCAUGAGUUCGAUUCUCCAUGGUGCA
rnacentral:tRNA from 1 species